UGUCUGUCUGUGUGAAUGGAUGCCUAGCACUGUCUCUGUGUGUGGAUGCUUUCUGUGUGUAGUGUGGUGUGUGUCUGUCUACAUGUUUUUUUUCCUCCCCCCCAUGCCUCCCUCCAUCCUUCCCCUCUCAUCCUCUCCCCUUCCUCUUCACCACCUUCCAUCCUCCCUCCCUUCCAGCCCACCACCGCCUCACCUGCCCCCAACCCCGGUCUGGCAGAUGAUGAGAGUCUGGUCUCUCCCACCGAAGCACACACGUGAGCACGUGUGUGCACAAAUAUGUGGCUGACCAACUCUGAGCCGGACCCUCCCCCCUUCAAUCCCCUCUACAUCCCUCUCCCCCUCCCCUUUCCUCCCCCCUGCCUCCCAGCCUCCCUCCCUGCCUCCCUCCCCCCUCCUAGCUAGCAGCGCACACAUACACACACAAAACACCUGUGGUGGCAAACACCACCAGCACACAUGCACUCACACUGGUGCCACCACCUCUGCCUUGGGCCUCUGUGUCCUUGAGCAGAUAUGUGGUGGUGGACCAGAGAAGCAUUUCUUUCCAGCAAGGCAAAAGGCAUGCACUCACUGCACACACACACACACACACACGAAGAGGUGAAGACGAGAAGAGGCAACUUCUAGAACCAGCAGCAGCAGAAAGGAAAAGAAAAUCAACUUGCCAUUUCUUCUUUGGCUACUGCCCUUCUUGCACACGUGAUAUCGGCAACAUAGAGGUCAGAUGUGAUUGAAUGUUCUGGAGCCCUGAGGGCAGUGGUAUCAUGGCUUAAGACUAACUGUAAGCCACAGCCUCCGACCUAAGGAAAAGGUAUUCUACAGCAUGCACUCUACUACUAAAGGGAGGGACAUGGUUCAGUGACAGAACACCUGUUUUGACUACAGUUCUCGGAGUCUUCAGGGACCAUGCCUUGCUCAAAUUAAGCCCUGUCUGAGAACAAAUCCACACAGACAAGCUUUUCACAUUCUGGUUGCUACUAAAGCCUCAAGCUGACUGGACUAUCUCCAGAACAGCUUUUUCUUCACAUGUAAUUCAAGGCCAAAGUAGACGUGAUGCAGGAGUUCUGCAACUGGAACUCCAGAUGACUUUUUCUCUUUCAAAAAGCAACUGCCAAGAGAGUGAUUUGGAGCAGAGCUGUGGCAAGGUGGGACAAACUGUUAGGCGACCCCUUGUGCAGUUCUGUUCCAAAUCACGCCACCCACCCAAUUGUGGCUUUUUGAAAAAGAUGUUAGGAUUCCUGUCCUUCCAAAGCCUUGCCUGUGCAAGAGAGGAAAUGCUCACUUGUCUCAUUAGAAACCAUCCCAAACAAGCUCAGCCCAAAUCUGAUCAAGCAACAGUUACAUGAAUGCCAAGUGAAAGAACAGCUGCCAAUGUAGCAUCUCCAGCUAUUCUAGCUUCUAGACAGACACCACUUAAUCACACUCAGCAGUCAGUGAGUCAUUGAACAGACUGGCCCUGCUAUGCAAACAAUACCCAUUGCAGAUACAAUAUCCUCAGCAAAUUGCCUGCUGAAAGUGGGGAAAACCCUGAGAAAUUUUGCUACUCUUAUAGAAAUGUUUUCUUCCCUCAGAACUCCUCAGACAGUUUCUCCCAGAAAAGUUCACUUUCAAGAAAUACGGUGGCCAAGGUCAACUCCAGGUCUGGGGGUGGCCUCAACACAAAGGAGGAUUUUCUGAAAGUGGGUGGAGUAUACAAGUACUGUCCACUGUAACCUACCGCAGGCAACGGUCCAUUGACUCUGGGUGUACUGUCUAUUUGAAUUAUGUUUGUGAUUUUUAUAGUUUGUCUAAUCUACAUUUGCAAUUGCUGUUUUGAAGUUGAUAAGAUAGAAAUAAACUUUUAAACUUUAUUUCUUGAGUUCCUGAAGCAGUGGCCAAUUCCAUCCCAACAGCCAAGGUCUGGUCAGACAAGGCUGAGAUGGAAAAUUAACUUCAAUAAAUAUAUUAAACUAAAUUCCUACAUCUGCAUUUAGGGAAAGAAUUACUUUGGAUAGAUUGAAUGUGAAGAAUCAAUGCCCCGAAAGGUUCCCAAGCAGCCGAGAGAGUCCUUGAGUCAAAAUCAAGGCUCGCCAUGCUCAAGGAGGGAGGGGUCUCUAAAGUUUACAAUAUUCAUCCCCAUAGAAGUGAAGCAUUCCCCAUUCCUCAAGUUGUGUGUCAAAGUCAGAAUCAGCACAUAAAUGAUUCGGGUCCAGACAGAGCGGAAAUAAGAUGGGGAAAUGAACACAGAGAUGAAAAAGAAACGACAACCCUGCUACACUUAACGCAAACAUGGAGCAACCAAGAGCUGAUAAUGUCAAGAGAGUAGCAGGUCCAGGGGAGUGAGGGGAGGGGACCCUGAAGACCUGGUACUCUCCACACUGUGACCCCACCUCCCCAAUACCUUACCACAGCAAUGGCCUUGGGGCCCUCGGCGACACUCUGGUUGAGAGCAAGACCAGCAGUAGCCGGGCGGCUGGGCGGAGUGGAUGGCAGCUGCUGCUGCUGCUUCCUCAUGGCUAUCCCCAUGGUAUCCAGGCUCUGGCUACGGCCCCGGAUCACCCGCUGGAGAGAGGGCAACAGGGAGACAGACACAGACAGGUUCACAGACACACAGAAGGACAUCAUGAAGAGCACCACAAGACAGCGGAGGGUAGUGGGGAGGGAGGCCAAGGGAACUAAGGUUACAUCGCCAAGACUCUCCCGGGCUCAGGCAGAGAAGGUACUGCUUUCUGAACCUCCUUGGACAGAAGCUACUUGGACUGAUCUAAUCCAGAUCAUCCUUAGCAGUGUUGCCAUAGUCUUUGCUCUCAGUCUCCUGCAAAUAAGAGAUACUCACCAACAUAAUUCCAAUUCUCCAAUAACCCAACAUCUUCCACUGCUAUCUAGAGCCACCAGCACCAGUUGAGAGAGUAGGCUCUCAUUACUAUAAUGAAGAUAUUCCAUCAAAAAUAGAAUCAAGGUUUUCCAUCUAGAGUCAAAAAGGUGAUGACUUCCCAGGGCAUCCUUCACACAGCAAGCUUGACUGCAAACUCCAAGUUGUUCCAAAAAACUGAUACAAAAAGUGGAUUUUUUAAGCUGGGAUAUAAAUUGGGCUGCACUCUAAUACACAGUGAAAACCCCGAAUUGUGUGUGAAGUGCUCCCUGAUAGCUUGUAGGGAGUUUGGGAUAAAUCUGCCCGAUAUGUGAACGCACACCCUCCAUUCUGGAGGAGAUGUGCGUUCAGCUACAGGGCUUUAAAAGCCCUGUGUGAAAAAUGCCCAGGCCCCUCAGAAUCGUUCUACAUGACCUGGUCAGAUAAAGCAGAAUGAAGUAGUGGGCUGCAGAUGGAGCAAUCACAUUGUUGAACGCGCAGUGUAGCAGAGAGUGCUUUUUACUUGCAGAAAGUUUGUUUAAGGUGAAGGAGGAUUCAAAAAUCGCAUCUUGCAGCCUCAAGUUGUACAGGCCCAAGUCUUUCAGCCUUCUAAGUAGAGAGAACCCCUACCUUCUGAGAAAUUUAAGUAGAACCUCAAUUUUCCAGUUGAUUUUAUAUUCACAAUAACAGGUGCCAUAUGAUGAAAGAAGGGUUGCGUGUAUAAGGCUGUGAUAUAACAGAUGUCUCAUCUAAUAUGGGCAGGGUUGCCAGUUUUUACACUGGGCUGCACAACUGGAAUAUGAACCAGGCUAGAGAUGAUGUUGGUCAAAGCUUGGAGGGCAGAACCCAGUACUGUGCAAAGCACAGUGUGCCAGAUUAUUGCUGGGAAAUAUGAAGUGUUGUGUAUGGCAUGGUGUGCCAGUUUUUCUGCCCUCUAAGAGAAGGAAGGUGCACAACAGGAAAACAGGAAGAGAGCAAAAGAUAGGAGAAGAGAAAGCGAGACUAAUUCUAGGCAAAAAACAGCAGCAAAGACUGAGCAGCAAAGGCAACUGGGCCCUCUCCUCUCUACCCUCCUUCUUGAGCUUCUUCCCCCCCUCUCCCCGUCCCAUACCCCUGCCUGUGUUUUGCGUACCUCUAGGGGUGUUGAGAAACAGGCAACUCUGUCAUCUCAGGAUUCUAUAUUCUGCUGGUUGUGGAAACCAGGCCCACACCAUGCAAAAUAAGGUGACAGAACUGAUGUGGCAGAAUUAUGCCACUUUAAACUGCAGGUGGAGGAUUGCAUGUCUGAAUGCGGCCCACCCCACAGCAAACAAAACAAAACCCGAACCAUGCAUGCACAAUUUUAGGAUAUAGGGCAGUAAAAGUAAAGUUCAGCACAACCCUUGCCCUGUGACUCUAGUAUACUAGAUAGAGGGAGGUGGUUCUGUUUUGUUAAGUGAAAAGUCAUUCAAAAGUUCACCUGCCACAGAAGUCAUGCAGUCCAGAAUCUUACCAGCUCUAGAGCCCUUUCCUGCUUGUACCCCAGUUCUAAGCACAUUUGUUGUUCAGUCUCCUUGCUUUGAAUGGAAUCUGCUUUCAAGUGAAAAUGCCCUUAAGACUGAAACUUUAGCCAUGGACUAUCAUGUACAGCACAAGCAGAAAGCAGAGUCAGUGAUUAUACAUAUGGGCCAUCAAUAAGCACCAGACCUGAGUAGGACAGAUCUUCUACAAAGGAGAGAAGAAUUCAGGAUGUGUCUAUAUUGCAAAAAGCCCCAAGACAUAGAGCACUAAACAGCGGCAGGUUACAGGAUGUGCUGUCGACUGCAGCACCUAUAUCACAAGAGCAGAUGUCACGAAGAGCUUGUGGCCAGCCUCCUUGGUUUUUGUCAGCCCUGAGUUUCGCUAAACAGGGUAGCCAGCUUGGGAACUAAUUUGGUGCCAUUGGGAAGAGGUGCCUCUUUCCUCAUAUAGACAUUUCACAUGUUACAGGAUCAAUAAUCUCAUGCACUGGACAGGUUCCAUUCUCACUCCAGGGGGGAAACAAUGACAUUUCUAAGGGUUCCCUGGGGAAAUGAAUAUCAAACCCAUUUAAGUCAGUGGCGUUGAUAUGGUCUGCCACUAGAUUCAGUGCCCCCGCAUUCCCCACACUCUACAGUGGUGCAUUCCAACAACUGAUACCCUGAAGGAGGGUAUUGAUUAUGUUUUUUUCCCUCUCCAGAUCAGAGGCAGGGAAAGAGUCCAUCAUAGAAAGAGACCCUUUGCCCUGAGCUGCUGCCCAUCCUCAUUUUCUUAGUGAAAAGCCAGUAAUGCAGAUUGCCUCAUUGAUUCUUGCCUGAUCCCUUUCCCUAGCUAGAGCUAAGUGGAAAUAUCAGCAUCUCCUGCAGAAGUACCACAGGGUCUGAUGGAGCUUGUUGAGGGGUUUAAAAUGCACUCUCUAGAUUAGGGCUGCAGCCUUCCAGCUGUUGGAGUACAACACUCAUCAUCCCUGACUACUGGCCACUGUGGCUAGGGAUGAUGGGAAUUGUAGUCCAACAGCAGCUGGAGGGCAGGAAGUUGUCUGGCCCUGGUCUAGAUAUGUGCUAUGGACACGCCUGCAGUCGGAGGGCCUACUCAGAGCGCCACAGUUCUGUGCAAAUACAGACAAGCUGCUGGUAUUGGCAGGAAUUCAGCAUCCUGAUCAUCUCUGAACAGAAAAGCAGGUUUCAGAGCCUUAGAGCUGGCCAGAUCAGUCAAGCAGGCAACACCUACUCAUGAGAUACCCAAAGCCAGGCUAGGUAGAGGGAACGGGGGCAGAGGUAUCAGUAGAAUGCUUGUGGGCUAGGAAAGGGGGCUCCAAUGCCUUGCAUGGCUCAGUGCUUCUAGCAAAAUCAGAACAAAAUUGUGCAGAAUACGGGAAUACAUACUUCACUUUUGCAAUGUACACAUAUUGCAUAAUAUGGGUUUCCUUAGGAUAGGACAUUUUUUGGCUUUUCUGUUGCAAAGUAUCUGCAUUCCUUCCUACAUCACUGUUUUCGGGAAGGGAUGAUUAUAACAUUGUGGGAAACAUAGCCAUUGGGUGACUGGGCUACAAGUCUUGCUGUAAGUUUGGUCAUCUUGAUUACUGUGUAUGGGUCUAUCCUCAUAAGAACAUAAGAACAGCCCUGCUGGAUCAAGCCCAAGGCCCCUAUCUAGUCCAGCAUCCUAUUCCACAGAGUGGCCCACCAAACACCUCUGAGAGGUCCACAGGCAAGAGAUGAAGGCAUGCCCUUUCUCCUUCUGUUGCUCCCCUGCAACUGGUAUUUAGAGGCAUUUUGCCUCUGAGGCUAGAGGUGGCUUAUAGCCCUCAGACCAGUAGCCGUCGAUAGCCCUCUCCUUCCUGGAUUUAUCUAAGCCCCUUUUAAAGCCAUCUAAGCUAGUGUCCAUCACCACAUCCCAUAGAUUAAUUAUGCGCUGUGUAAAAAAAAGCACCUCCUUUUGUUGGUCCUAAAUUUAUCAGCAUUCAGUUUCAUGGGAUGACCCCUCAUUCUAGUGCAGUGAGAGAGGGAUAAUUAUUAUUGUGUCUAACCAAGGAGUCAGGGAUCUAAACAGCAGAAGGAUGUUUAAUGUUCCAUCUGUAAGUCUCUCUCCAGUCCAUGGAAUGCAAUAGCCAUCAGAAUUGGAAAGGCGAUACCUUCUAACUGUUGGCAGGGCACAUGGAAAACAAUUUGGAACCAGUUUAUAGUUUGAAUCCAGGGCACUUUCCAGAUUAGACCCUGCACGGGGUCACGGCGUAUCUCUGAAGUGUGCUUCCACACUUCCUGCGUCGUGACACCGCAGUCCCUAUGCAGACAGCAGGGUGCUUGCCGUUCAUAUUUCCAGUGCCUUGUUUUGAAUUUAAUCACUGUGCAUAUCCGGUUUAAGAAAGUUGCUGUUUUUUCAGGUUGUUAGUUUCUGCAAGACUGCUCUCCCUGCUGUUUACGUUCCGAAUACAACUUGCUGAACAGAGGCAUUUUGCUGCUGUUGAGCAGCUAGUUUGGAAAGUGCCCAGGAGAAACAAGACGAUAAAUUGGCUGAAGCAUCUUUGGGACACACAUGCUCUCUCUGAGGUUCUGACUGAGGGUUACUAGAUCUGCUGUUGCUAUAAGAACAUUCGUUUGCUUUCAUAAUACUCUGCUUGCAUAUUUGCAAAUGAAGCAAUUGCUACCAAGACAAGAGAAGUCUCCUGUGUUCUUUUUCAUGCCAAGGAAAUUAAACCCUUUAGUGCUGCCCCUGAAACUCUGCACCUUUUGGGGGACUGCCAAAUGAUUGCCA